AUGCUCAGGCCCGUGUGGAACCCGGCAUCUCUCCAUCCCGUCUUUGGUGUUUUGAGAUGCUCAGGCCCGUGUGGAACCCGGAGCUUAUAUUUCUGGUUGGUCUUGAACUCGUGAUCUUCCUGCCUCGCCCUUCAGAUGCUGGGAUUAGAGACUUAUGACACCUCAGGAUUAUUUAUUACCUUUUGUAAGCCUCUGAAUCAUGAAGUUAAUUAGUUUAGCAGCUAGGUUGGCCUCAAUUGAACUCAGCCUCCUGUUUCAGUUUCUCAAGUGAGAAUGAAGGCUUGUUCCACUUUGUUUUGCUAGAAUGAUUUUAAAAAUUACUCCAGAGGAGUUGGAGAGAUGGCCCCGGGGGUAAGAGCCCAUGCAGCUUCUCAUAGGACCCAGGUUUGGUUCUUAGUCCCCACAUGGUCACAACCUAUUCAAACUUAAUAAGCUCUGUGGCAUCCAGUGCCCUUAUGUCUUCCCCAGGCUUCUGUACACGCUGCACAUACAUACAUAUAGUGAACAGUCAUAUACAUAAAAUAAAAAUAAGUAAUAUUUAAAAAAUACUAACAGUUCAUUACAGUUACUGAGUGGUUACGAGACCUUACUGGUUUUCAGGAGGACUUUGGUUCCCUUGCCAGCACCCACGAGGCUGCUCACCCAUCUGUAACUUCAGUUCUGGCUGUCUCAGUUCAUGCUCUCUUCUGGCUUCCACAGUCUCUUGCGUAUAUGUGGAGGACAUAGAACUCAUGUAGGCACACAUACAUUAGGAAAUAAUCUUAGAAAAAACCCCAGCAUGAUAGUAAUGCUAGGUUAUCAGGGAUUAUAUUAAAUAUUUUCUGACUUUAACAAAAAUUUUUAAUUUAUAUUUUAUGUGUAUAAGUGUUUGCCUGCAUACAUGUCUGCGCAUAUGUGUGCUUCGUGCCUGAGGAGGCUUUCAAUCCCCUGGGACUCGAGUUAUGGACAGUUGUGAGCUAUCAUGUGGUUGCUUGGAUUCCCGAAUCCCCUGCAAGAGCAGCCAGUGCUCUUAUCCCCUGAGCUAUUUUUUUUAAAUGUGUGCUGAUUCACACCCCUAGCUAAUUUCAUUAUGCUUCGAAAGUGACUUUAGGAUGCAUUUUCCCUGGUAUAAAAAUUCUGUAGGGCACCUCCACCCUCUUAGUAAAUAUGAACUCAUUUAUUAAGGAGGGAGUGCACUCUGAGGCCCGGGAUCCUCUCUCUGGGCAGUGUGUGAAGAAAAUACUUGUUUGAAGUGAUUACUUACAACAUCUUAUUUUCUUCUUGGGUGCUGGGAUUGAGCCCCAAGGUAAGGCCUCAUGCAUGCUUGGCAAGUGUUUUGUAACUGAACUGAAUCUCCAGCCCAUUAAGGCCUUCAUUAUCUUUUUUUUUCCCUUAUGAUAUAGACCAGAGUAGCUUCCAACUUGGUUCUGCAGGUCCUUCCCCUAUUUUGUGUGUGUGGUCUAGCACUAACGCCUUUUUUUUUUUAAAAUAUUUAUUUAUUUAUUUUAUGUAUGUGAGUACACUGUAGCUGUCUUCACACACCAGAAGAAGGCUUCAGAUCCCAUUACAGAUAGUUGUGAGCCACCAUGUGGUUGCUGGGAAUUGAAUUCGGGACCUCUGGAGGAGCAGUCAGUGCUCUUCACCACUGAGCCAUGUCUCCAGCCCCCACUAAUGCCCUUUAAAAAGAAUAUUUGUUUUUUUUUUUUUUUUUUUUAAUUUAUUUUAUGUAUGAGUGCUCUGCUACAUGUACACUUGCAUGCCAGAAGAGGGCGUCAGUUCCCUUUAUAGAUGGCCGUGAGCUGCCGUGUGGGUGCUGGGACUGGAACUCAGGACCUGGAAGAGCAGCCAUGCUCUUAACCGAUGUGCCAUCUCUCUAGCCCCAUGAAUGCAUUCUUUUUGUUUGUUUGUUUGUUUUUGUUUUUGAGACAGGGUUUCUCUGUGUAGCCCUGGCUGUCCUUGAACUCACUUUGUAGACCAGGCUGGCCUGGAACUCAGAAAUCUGCUUGCUUCUGCCCCCCAAGUGCUGGGAUUAAAGGCGUGCUCUACCACCGCCUGGCCCAAGUUCCUUUUUAAAAAUUGUUUUUGUGGUUUUUUUUUUUUUUUUGUGUCUCAAAAAACAGUUCCUGGUUGGCCUGGAACUCCUGUAGGUCAGGCUGGUCUUGAACCUUUUUUUUUCUUUUUUGGGGGGGAGUGGCUGGGGCUUAAAACAGGGUUUCUUUUCUCUAUGUACCCCCCGAUUUCAUCAACCUUGCAAGGUAGACCAGGCUGGCCUUGAAAUCAGAUCCCCCUGCCUCUGCCUCCCAAGUGCUGGAAUUAAAGGCGUGUGCCACCACGCCGGGCAUGAUCCAUGUUUUUAUUUGCAUUUUUUUUUUUUUCUCCCUGAGAACAGAUCUUACUGUAUUCCUGGCUGGCCUGUAACUCACUGUGUAGACCAGGCUGGCAUGGACUUAUAGUGCCGCUUCUGCAUUUGUCUCCCAAGAAAUGGAAUGAAAUUACAAAUUAUUUUAAAAUUAUUUUAUUACUUUAUGCAUCAUGGAUAUUUUUUGUCUCUGUGCAUGCAUAUAUACCACAGUGCCUGCUGAGGUCAGAAGAAGGUGCUUGAUUCCCUGGAGCUGGAGUUAUAGACGGUUGUGAGCUGGGAAUUGAACCUAGGACCUUUUGCAAAAGAAACAAGUGCUCUUCUAACCACUGAGCCAAUUCUCCAAUCCCAACAACUUUUUUUUUUUUUAAAUGUAUGUGUGCGUGUGUGUACACGCACGUGCCUGUGAGUUCAUGUGCCAGGAAGCCCAUUUUGAAUCAUUGAAAUUAUAGCUUCUUGCUAUGUCAGGGACAUUCUAUUAAC
rnacentral:lncRNA from 1 species